GAUGAACGCUAGCGGGAGGCCUAACACAUGCAAGCCGAGCGGUAUUGUUUCUUCGGAAAUGAGAGAGCGGCGUACGGGUGCGGAACACGUGUGCAACCUGCCUUUAUCUAGAGGAUAGCCUUUCGAAAGGAAGAUUAAUACUCUAUAAUAUAUUAAUUGGCAUCAAUUGAUAUUGAAAACUCCGGUGGAUAGAGAUGGGCACGCGCAAGAUUAGCUAGUUGGUGAGGUAACGGCUCACCAAGGCGACGACGGGUAGCCGGCCUGAGAGGGUGACCGGCCACACUGGGACUGAGACACGGCCCAGACUCCUACGGGAGGCAGCAGUGGGGAAUAUUGCACAAUGGGCGCAAGCCUGAUGCAGCAACGCCGCGUGAGGGAUGACGGCCUUCGGUUGUAAACCUCUUUUAGUAGGGUAAGAAGCGAAAGUGACGGUACCUGCAGAAAAGCACCGGCUAACUACGUGCCAGCAGCCG
rnacentral:rRNA from 1 species